rnacentral:lncRNA from 1 species
GCCCGCAAGGGUCAAUCCCGCUGAGAACUUCGGCCGUGGGUAUUUUAUACCCAACACUUUUUAUGCAAUUUUUUUUCCAACACAUUCUGAUGGUCCAGAUCUCUUGAUAUGAGCUAAUCAAUACCUUUGUGUAUCUUAAUAAACUCUUAAAUUCAAGGUUCGUUGAACUUGUAUUGGAGGUCAUAUCGGUUGGUGGUUGGUUCAGCAUGGUACAGUCUGUACUAUACUCUUCCAGGGCAUACUGAAACUGGAAGAGCCAAAGAGGGAGGGAGAGAGGGAGAAGGAGAAAGAGGAAAAGAGAGGGGGAGGAGUGGGUCGAGAGACUGUUGUUGUUG